rnacentral:rRNA from 1 species
CAAUAGCGUAUAUUAAAGUUUCAGCGGUUAAAAAGCUCGUAGUUGGAUUUCAGCUGAGGACGACCGGUCCGCCUCUGGGUAAGUAUCUGGAUCGGCCUGGGCAUCUUCUUAGAGAGCGUAGCUGCACCUGACUGUGUGGUGCGGUAUCCAGGACUUUUACUUUGAGGCAAUUAGAGUGUUUCAAGCAGGCACACGCCUUGAAUACAUUAGCAUGGAAUAAUAAGAUAGGUCUAUUUUGUUGGUUAUAGAGCUUUGGUAAUGAUUAAUAGGGAUAGUUGGGGGCAUUCGUAUUUAACUGUCAGAUGUGAAAUUCUUGGAUUUGUUAAAGACGGACUAUUUGCGACAGCAUUUGCCAAUGAUGUUUUUCAUUGAUCAAGAAC